rnacentral:rRNA from 1 species
GCAGAACGCGAAGAACCUUACCUAGGCUUGACAUGUAUUGCUAAGCACGUGAAAGCGUGUGACCCUUCGGGGACCUUACACAGGUGCUGCAUGGCCGUCGUCAGCUCGUGUCGUGAGAUGUUCGGUUAAGUCCGGCAACGAGCGCAACCCCUCGUGGUUAGUUACCACGCACAUAAUAGGUGGGGACGUCUAGCCACGACUGCCCACGAUCAACUAGGGAGGGAAGGUGGGGAGUGACGUCAGGUCAGUAUGGCCCUUACGCCUAGGGCUGCACACGUACUACAAUGCCCAGCACAAUGAGACCCGAUACCGCAAGGUGGAGGAAAUCUAUAAAACUGGGCUCAGUUCGGAUUGGAGGCUGCAACUCGCCUCCAUGAAGUUGGAAUCGCUAGUAAUGGCACAUCAGCCACGGUGCCGUGAAUACGUUCCCGGGUCUUGUACACACCG